rnacentral:misc_RNA from 1 species
UGCUGCUUAUCUCUACA